CAGUCGCCACGGUAAUACGGAGGGGGCUAGCGUUGUUCGGAAUUACUGGGCGUAAAGCGCACGUAGGCGGCUUGGUAAGUUAGAGGUGAAAGCCCAGGGCUCAACCCUGGAAUUGCCUUUAAGACUGCCGAGCUAGUAGGUGGGAGAGGUAAGUGGAAUUCCGAGUGUAGAGGUGAAAUUCGUAGAUAUUCGGAAGAACACCAGUGGCGAAGGCGGCUUACUGGCUCAUUCUAGACGCUGAGGUGCGAAAGCGUGGGGAGCAAACAGGAUUAGAGACCCGCGUAGUCCCUGUCUCUUAUAC
rnacentral:rRNA from 1 species